AGACUGAUUUGUGCUUGAUUUGAGGUAAUUAAGCCCUAAGUGGUUAUAGGAAACAUUUUGGAGUGGUUGUCAAGUGGCUAUACUAGGAAAUAACUUCCCCAAAAUGGCCAUGUCAGGAAACAUUUCGGAGUGGUUGUCAAGUGACUAUCCCAGGAACUGGCCUCCCCAAAAUGGCUGUAUGUCAGACUGUACUGAUGUACACCGUCCAGGUGCCAUCGAUGGAUGAGGCCAGCAGGUAGGUGCAGGUACCCUGGAAGUGGAAGUGCUUCUUGUCAAAAGUGCGAUAGUGGGAUCCACCCCAGGACAUGCAGGUGGCUGUGCCUUGAGGUGCCCUGACGCUACCCAGAAGUCCACCACGUACCAGUGGGGACAACUGGGAGUCUGGAGAUGCGUGAAGGAACACAAAGAGAGUUACAGUGUAAAUGUGCUAAUGCUAGAUGUGUUAGAUGAUAAGUGUGAACCUGGAAGGAGAGUG